UCUUGGAAACAGCCACUGUAGAAUG
rnacentral:miRNA from 1 species